UCCUUUCCUCUUGGUUCUGGUAUCAUGGCCAGGACCUCUCCUCGGGAGGCUCGAUCGGGGAACCCGAUCGAUGAUCUUCGGUCGACCCCGGAAGUGGAGGUUUCCUCACUUUCGGGGCCGAAUGUCGGUCGGCUUCGGGAUCAAUAUUGUAUCCCGGAGCAGUUUCGACUCUUCGCCCCUGGGGCCGAGGGACGGGUCAACAACACGCCCGCGGGCUAGGUGGCUCUGUACGUCGAGGACCUCCGGGCUGG
rnacentral:lncRNA from 1 species